rnacentral:rRNA from 1 species
CGAGAUGAGUUCUCACUAGACUUUUAAAGUCUCUGAAGGGCCGUUGAAGACUACAACGUUGAUAGGCAAGAUGUGGAAGUGGUGUGAGCCAUUAAGCUAACUUGUACUAAUUACCCGUGAGGCUUAACCAUACAACGCCAAACGCGUUU